CUAUAGACCAAGUGCUCGAAAAAAUCCUCCAUUUCCUCUUCCUCGCUCCCGUUGUCCGGCGAGGACGGUCUUGUUCCUCGGCGUUGACGUCGACGUCGACGGCGAGCUCUCCUCCGAUCUGCUGGAAUUUUUUCAUAUUUCGUUUCCCUAUUGAUCCAGGGAGACAAAUCUUAACAGGGAGAGGUAUAAUGAUGCAACAGGGCAAGAGCAAGAAAGGUGAAAUGGAAAAGAGAUGAGAAUUUGAUUGGAAUCCACUGGAUUUGGAAGAACAAUUCAAAGUUUUUGUGCAUGGAGGAUUCAAAUCCUACCAUGUAAUUGCCUAGAAAUGGCAAUGGUGCAGCUUGAGCAAGAGCAAGAAAUGGGCGUUCAGAUCAAUCCAACAUUGAUGGUCAUGCAGCUCUAAGGGACAUAUAACUGAAAUUAGACCCAGUGUGCAACAAAACAGCAUGAGGUUUUGAAAAUUGCGGAGUUGUUUGAUUGAUUUUUUUUUCCUUUGAUCCUUCUUCACUGUAAUGACAAGUUGUUCAGCCUUUGAAUGCGAGUCUGUCUUCAAUUAUUUUAUUUGGAUUAAUUGAAAUCCAUACAAAUCGAACUAUUAAAGAAAAGAAAAUGGAUUGCUAUUUAUUUGCAAAACUGCAA